CUCCCGGGUAGGGGCGGCAAGGGCCGGGUCGCCGCGCACCCCGAGCCCCGCCGCCAACCUGCUGUCUCUUGCAGCGACCACGGCAGCGCCGGGCACCCCCAGCACGGCCAGCCCCCCAUCCACAGCGGCACCUGGCACACCUUCUGCCCCCACGCCCACAGGAACCUCAGGCACAAGCGGGGCUUCUUCGCCCGUGGUAACGCGUUCAACUGGCACCAGCGGCCCGACGGAAGCGAACCCCACCACCAGCUCGGUGCCCGGGACCACGGCAGGGCCUGGCACCUCCAGUGCGGCCAGCACAGCAUCCACAGCGCCACCCGCCACAACUUCUGCUGCCACGCCCACAGGUACAUCUGGCACCAGCCGGGCUUCCUCGCCCGGGACAUCGCGUUCGCCUGGCACUAGCGCUAGCCCCGCACCCAGAGUCCACAACGCCACCUCGAGUGCCGCGACCACGGCAGCGCCGGGCACCCCCAGCACGGCCAGCCCCCCAUCCACAGCGGCACCUGGCACACCUUCUGCCCCCACGCCCACAGGAACCUCAGGCACAAGCGGGGCUUCUUCGCCCGUGGUAACGCGUUCAACUGGCACCAGCGGCCCGACGGAAGCGAACCCCACCACCAGCUCGGUGCCCGGGACCACGGCAGGGCCUGGCACCUCCAGUGCGGCCAGCACAGCAUCCACAGCGCCACCCGCCACAACUUCUGCUGCCACGCCCACAGGUGAGUUGAGCUGGCGGGACAGGUCCUCCUCUUUGUGGCUGAGAUGCCCAGCGUGAGAGCCCGGCAGGAGA
rnacentral:lncRNA from 1 species